AGGAUAAACGCUGGCGGCGUGCAUGAGACAUGCAAGUCGAACGGACGAUCAGGGCUUGCUCUGAUCGUUAGUGGCGGACGGCUGAGUAACGCGUAGGUGACCUGCCCCGAAGUGGGGAAUAACUGCCCGAAAGGGUGGCUAAUACCGCAUGUGGUGGUGCCUUCACUGGCAUCAGUAAAGCCGCAAGGCGCUUCGGGAGGGGCCUGCGUCCGAUUAGCUCGUUGGUGGGGUAACGGCUCACCAAGGCGACGAUCGGUA
rnacentral:rRNA from 1 species